CCAUAUUAAAGCUCUUCAACCUUGUGCAGUAUGAAUUCUGUGAGAGCGGAGUCAGACCAGACAGCUGAGGUGAUUGUGGCUCAUCACUUUGUGGAUUUGCCAAAAUUGCCUGUGGUGGCUGGGGCAACACUGCGGAGAUGCGCCGCCGGGGUGGUGAUGAUGGAGCCGCAGACUCAGACUCAACACGACGUGUCUUGCUUGGCCUCCUAGGCAAACUAACAGAGCCCUGUGAUGGGCGCCUUAGAGGAGGGCGGCUUGCAGAAGAAGAACCUAUGAGAAAAGAGAAACAUUAAUAUUUGGGACUUCUAUGUGUUUGAUGAAUAUGUGAUUACAGAGAAUUCUUACCUGCAUUACCACCAUCUGCAUCACUUGGCAGUGUUGGCUGUGGCCUGUCUGUGGUGCUUCUCUGGCGUACUGUUGAAAAAUUUGAAAAGACCUUAUGACCAUACUUUGAAUACUCAUUGUUAUCAGAAAUUCCUUAUUGUGAUGUAAACAUCUGGAACAUAAUGAUAAGUAAACUAUUUUAUGUUUAA